rnacentral:rRNA from 1 species
UACGGGGGGUGCGAGCGUUGUCCGGAUUUACUGGGUUUAAAGGGUGCGUAGGUGGGUCUGUAAGUCAGUGGUGAAAUCUCCGGGCUUAACCCGGAAACUGCCAUUGAUACUAUAGAUCUUGAAUAUCCUGGAGGUGAGCGGAAUAUGUCAUGUAGCGGUGAAAUGCUUAGAUAUGACAUAGAACACCAAUUGCGAAGGCAGCUCACUGGACCACAACUUACGCUGAGGCGCGAAAGCUAGGGGAGCAAACAGG